GACGAACGCUGGCGGCGUGCUUAACACAUGCAAGUCGAGCGGUAAGGCCCUUUCGGGGGUACGACGAGCGGCGAACGGGUGAGUAACACGUGGGUGACCUGCCCUCAGCUCUGGGAUAAGCCUGGGAAACCGGGUCUAAUACCGGAUAUGACUCCAUGACGCAUGUUGUGGGGUGGAAAGCCUUGUGCGGCUGAGGAUGGGCCCGCGGCCUAUCAGCUUGUUGGUGGGGUGAUGGCCUACCAAGGCGACGACGGGUAGCCGGCCUGAGAGGGCGACCGGCCACACGUGGGACUGAGACACGGCCCAGACUCCGUACGGGAGGCAGCAGGUGGGGAAUCUUGCGCAAGUGGGCGAAAGCCUGACGCAGCGACGCCGCGUGAGGGAUGA
rnacentral:rRNA from 1 species